GUGGGAUUUAGAGCAACAGCAGCACUGGCCGCCUCCGAAGUGCUCCGGGACCGUAUCAGAGUCUCCUCGCGAUCUCACCACCCCUAGUACUUUCAACUGCGGUUAAUGCCUCAAAAAACACCAGCGAAACGGAAAAAUCUAUCGAAUCUCAAAAUUUCGGGCCAGUGGAACCUGUGGCAGUGUAGUUAAUGUGUGUCAAACGCUGUACGGAGUUCAGUGAAGUGGGUGUGCACAACAAACAGGAUGACGGAAUUUUUCGGACCCUGGAGCGACAAGCAUGGGUCCGACGAGGAAGUGGAGGAGACGGUGGAGGAGGUCACCACCACCACCACCACUACCAGCAGCAACCGGCGACGGACCACAAAAUCGUCGAGCACAAAGACGACGACGAUGACGACGCCGGCCAAGUUGUUCGGGCGCGACAUCGGCUCCUACGAUGAGGUGGACGUGGAUGAGCUGCUGGCCAAGCUCACGGCCGAGGAGCUGUCCAUGCUGGCCAAGGAGGUUGACCCUGACGACAACUUCCUGCCGCCGUCUCAAAGGAACAACUAUGACUGUGAGAAGGACCCCACGGGCCCGCUGAACCGCAAGAAGCUGAUCGAGCACAUCAACAAGCAGGCGCUGGAGACGCCGGACCGGCCCGAGGUCAAGCCCUACGUCGCUGGAGUGGUCAGAGGGAAGAAGUGGAUCCCACCGCCGCCGCCCGAGCGGCAACGCGACGCCGACGAGCAGAUCUCCAUCGACCUCGGCGACGAGUACGAACAGGCUCUCGACACCGCCUCGCAGGAGGAGAUCAUCGACCUGGCCGCGAUCCUGGGCUUCCACUCGAUGAUGAACCAGGACCAGUACCACGCCUCGCUGCUGAACAAGGGGCAGCCCGUCGGCCUCGGCUGGGACGGCAUCACCAAGGCUUCCAAACAAAAGGUUUACCCCAUGGACCCGCCAAACGACACAGACGUGGACGAAACCCUCAAGAAAAUAGAAGCCAACGAACCCGCGCUCACUGAUCUCAAUUGGAAUAAUAUUAAGAAUAUAAGCGAAGAGAAGUUCGAGCGUCUGUUCGACAGUCUCAAGAAGAACUCCAACCUCGAAGUGUUGAGCCUAGUGAACGUGGGUCUCACGGAACACCUGGCUCUACGGCUCGCCGCGGCUCUAGAGGUCAACACGGCUCUACGGGUCGUCAACGUAGAGACCAACUUUAUCAGCCCGAGCGGGGUCAAGGCGUUGGUGCAGUCUCUCAACACUACCAAGACUGUUGAGGAGCUGAGGGCUUCUAAUCAGCGCGCCCAAGUGCUCGGUAACAAGAUAGAGAUGGAGAUAACCUCGCUCGUGGAACAGAACCCGACGCUGCUCCGUCUCGGGUUGCACCUCGAGUACAGCGACGCGCGCCACCGCAUCGCCACGCAUCUGCAGCGGAACAUCGACAGAAAUUGCCGAAUACAGAAGCGGGCUAGCGCGUCCUUGAGCCUGCGCCUACCUCGCGGCCGCCCGCCGCCCGUCGGCGUCGACAGCUCGGUCUUCGACAUGAUGAUGACCCCGCCCAGUGCAGAGGCCGUCACCCCUAUCGACGAGAACAAACCAAUAUUACCCCAGAAUGGACUCCCCAAAGAACCCUUCGUCCGCGCCGCCCCACCAGACAUAAACCCCAACCCCCACUCCCGCGAGGGAAGCGAAGAAUCGAAUAAAAAAUCAGCCUAAAAUCUUCGGUCUUUUCCCUGUGGAUUGUACGCCAACAACGGAGGAGCCAGAACAGCGCCUAGAUCCAUGAACACGCUUCAACGGUGGUCGCGUGCGCCGCAUGACGCGGUUCACUCGCAGCCGCAGCUACGUGGUCGGCUGGAUCUAGCGCGCGCGCGGCGCCCAGCGAGUGUGUGCGGAUGAGUGCGUCCUGACAGCCUGCGAGCGACGAAGCAUUUCUUUACUUUAUUGUAGAUGUCCCACGUUGGGCGCCAAACGCCAUUAUGUAUGUCCCACGGUGGGCGCCAAACGCCAUUAUGUAUGUCCCAUGGUGGGCGCCAAGAUUUUGCCGCUGUAUUUCUGUCAUUUAAGUUGGAGAUGUUUGUGGAAUGUAGGAAAUCUUAAAAGGUUUAUUGGCUCAUUGGUUGACACCUGUUUUCUUGCUGUAUGGAAAUGCUUCGUUGUUGGAACAGCUAUGGCUACUCGUUUGCGGGCUUGCGUUGUCGUAUGUUUAUGUAAUGGACUUACAUUAUUAUGAAUGAUAGAUAUAUUUGCAACUUGACCAGUUGUGAUAAACCAAGCUGUCUAAGCGCACAUCAAUAGAAAUGACUUCCAAAGUUGUUUUUCCCCUGUCCUUUUUAUUACUUUAUCUAUAAUGAUAAUGACGCAUUUUUUCAACUAAACCAUUACUGCCAUUUUGUAUUUUGACAAAAAAAGUGAGCCUAACAGGAUAUACGACAACGCAACUCCGUCACAACUUAUUUAAGGACAGUAUAUUUGACGAUAGAGUGUGUGCUACACAAGAGUUGUGCUUUAAAUUUUACUUCUUAUUUAUUAAGAAAAUCUUUUAUACAACAACAAUUUUCAUAGUGGCAGGACCAUCACAGAAAUUCAAUGUAUUCGACUAUGAAAUUUACAGUUUCUAAUCAUGAUUCUUGUUGCUGAAUCUUUUAGCAUAAACUUUAAUAUUAAUUUUUACUCUAGUGUGCUAAUAAUCGUAUUAAUUAAUUUUUAUAUUGAUAAAUAAAUGUAAUAUAUUAUACCUUACAUGUGCACAUUCCAUUAAUGCAAAACAUGGUUUUACAUUGUGACCUUCCCAGAGUUAGCGUUAGUCCCUUACGAUUAUUCUGAUCUUGUAAUCCAUAUAAGUGAUUAUUUUCGUCUUCGACAGACGUAUCUAUAUAAUCCAGAGUCCUGUAUUUGGGCACUAGGUUCGAGCUGAGUCUAGUUAACUAUUAACUCCACCAUGUUCUGCGUCAAUGGGUAUUUAAAGUCUUAAAUUUUCAAAUAAGCACUAGGUUUGCUUGCAGUCAGCGUAGCAAAGUGGAUUUUAUAUCUAUAGCUUCAGGAUUGAGCUAAAGCAAGCUUUCAGUGUCGCUGUAUGGAUACGAUAGUGUAACCUUUUGCUUCUUUGAAACAACUAUUUUAUAAAGUAAAUUGCUUAACUUUAAAAACGUAACUUUAUGUAUAUUUGUUAGAGAACUGGGGGAACUAUGUGUCCAUAAUAUUGUGAUAAAACGUCAAGUUUUUCCAUUAAAAACUGCUUUGAUUUUUUGUCUUUAGUUUCAAAUGAAGAGAGAUUAUUUGUUAGAUUUUUAAUGUGUAUCUUUAUUACGAAAUAUAUUUUAAAAAUUAAAUUAAAAAUGAGUUAAUAUGAAUAGAUUUAUUAUUAUAUAUGUUUUGGUAUAACGGUCCAGGAACAUUUGAAAUUCAACGAAAACCUGACUAGUAGAGUCGACCAGUUUGUAGUUUGUGACAAAUGUAAAAAAAACAAAUAAACAUUACGUAAAUAAUA